CAUGCGCAUGCCCAGAACCACUAGGUAGCAAAAUCAGGAAGCAGAAAUUGGCAGAACACGUGUUCGUCAAAAAGCUCUAGAAUAUUUAGUUGCAGGUAGAUCUGUUCGGGAUUUAGUUGUUGAGCGAACCUUGUAUUGCAACGGAGAUUUGUUAGUGAACGUGUUAUCUCUGCUCUAUAAGGUGUCCGGCCGCCAUCCCCUAUUCACGUGCUUUUAUGUAUUGGAGAACCUGCUCAGCAAGCUGCAGUCUGCAACUUCUGCGGGAGGUUUAAUUCAAAUCCAGUACUGUUGCAUUUCAGCAAAAGCACAAGGGUGAAAGUCUUUGGUCUCCUUCAACUCCUGAGCAACAACAGCAGCAGUGGCAUCUUCCCCUUCUUUCCCCUAAGGCUGUAGCUGCUCCAAACAAAGUUUGAGGCCACAGAGCGCAACACCCUCCUCACACACUCCCCAGGAUUGGACCCCCCAACUAGGCUCAGAUGGGAAAUCUAAGGAAAUCAAACAACCAUGGUUAAGGACUUUGUCUCCGCCCUCUUGUUCCUCCUGACGGCCUGAUCCCAAUCAUCUAAACAGUCAGGUGGGCCAAAACAAUUAGAAAUUACACUCUUUUAAAUGUGUUGCAUAUCACCACUUGUUAUUUGUCGCCCAUUAACACACCUGUUGAGGAAAAUAUUUUUAUUGGCCUUUUUAGCCAGGUUUCAGGAUCGGGCAAAUCUUUGUCCUUUGCCCUCUGUGUGGGCUUGUGGAGUGGCCAGUAGCUGCAUGUCUUCUGAAAUGGAAAACAAAAUAGUUUUGCAGAACUUGCAUAGAAUUUUGACAUGAUUGACAUAAAGGUUUUUCGCAUGUACUUACAUCUCCCUCUUUUAAAAUCCAAUUACUGGCCACUAUGCCAACAGUCCUUUCCCCCAAAAAUUAGACGAUGCUAUACAUUCUGUAAUCAAGAACAGAGAGGUUAAUUUAAUACAGUAAAGAAUUAUUGUGUCUGUACAAGAAAUUGCAAUGAUAAUACACUGAGCAAAUGACAACAUACUGCAAUGUCAUGAAGAAUGGCCAUGAAGAGGAUUUUUUCCCCAACAGGAAUCUUGAUUGCCUUUCUUUUCAGGUUGUCUUUUUGGAUCCAUCUCAAAACGGUGUCAUUGUUCUUGUACUUCAGUACUCCGAUUAAUGUGGAGUCACAAGGGACACUGAAAAGUGGUUCUGGGUGCUGGUAUACACGGCAAAGCUGACUUCCAUCCCUCUCCUCUAUGACCUCGCAGCAUUCGCGGCGAUUCAAAAUAAAAGAAGAAUUGGACCUCUGCCUACCAUGCUCCAUUGGCUGUCCAGCGCAUUCCUCCAGCCUUUUCACCACUUGUGACAGGGGGCAUCUUCCACUCCUUACCAUCCUCUUUAUUUUCUUGAGACAAUUUUCAAAUUUAAAAGCGCUACAAUUGUCCAAUCCUCCAAAGGUCACGGCAUCCUCCACAAUGUGCAACAUUGAGUGCACGUUGUAGACCAGAAACUGGUUACCAUAAAGUUCUCGGCCUCUCUCAACAAAGAAUCGAAGGAGAUCAGCAGCAUAUCUCCAGUGUUGCUCGACCAAUGCUGGACUUACAACUCUUUAAGAUCUCGAGCGAAGCUGGAAGGGAUGUGUGGACGGAGGUUGGUGAGCCUGCUGCUGACCUCCUCUAUUUGGGUUGCCGACAUCUUCAGGCCCUUCACUCCUCUGCACCACAUGAAGAGAAGCCUCUUCAUUACAACCAAGCAUGCCUGGUGCAUGUAAUCGAUGGGAAAUGCACUGAUCAUGUUUAUGGGUAAAUCCAAAAGCGGGGUGCUGCCAUGAUGAUGCUCGCCCUGUGUCUGUUGGCGGAAGGAGUCGUCACUACGAGCCACCACCUCUGUGUCUUGGCCACUGGACAGGAGGUUGUUGACAUCCAUCACCAUGUCUUCCAGGAAUUCCAGAUUCUGUGAAAGAUUUGCGUUGAAAAUACAUGCAACAGGGUUCACGCCCAUGCAACUUCUAUCAACAUCACCACCGUUUCUAUAACGACACCUUUACUAUACCACUUGUUUUUACUAACUAGCUUGCUGGUAACGUUAACCAAUAAAGCUGUAGCAUACUUGGCAUACUUGUUACGCGACUGAUGUUUUGCAAACAGUAGCGUUUCAUACGCAAAGUGGAUAAUUAUUUUCUCCUACUCUCCUAAUAAUAUCUUGAAGCCUCUGCUGGCCUUGACUGACG
ensembl:lncRNA